GUAGUCCACGCCGUAAACGAUGGAUACUUGGUGUUGGAGGUAUUGACCCCUUCAGUGCCGAAGCUAACGCGUUAAGUAUCCCGCCUGGGAAGUACGGUCGCAAGAUUAAAACUCAAAGAAAUUGACGGGGGCCCGCACAAGCGGUGGAGCAUGUGGUUCAAUUCGAUGCAACGCGAAAAACCUUACCUGGGUUUGAAGUGCUAGUGAAUACGGUAGAGAUAUCGUAGGCCUUCGGGACACUAGUAUCAGGUGCUGCAUGGCUGUCGUCAGCUCGUGUCGUGAGAUGUCGGGUUAAGUCCCAUAACGAGCGCAACCCCUGUCUUUAGUUGCCAGCAUUAAGUUGGGCACUCUAAAGAGACUGCCGACGUUAAGUCGGA
rnacentral:rRNA from 1 species